UACGUAGGGUGCAAGCGUUAAUCGGAAUUAUUGGGCGUAAAGGGCGCGUAGGCGGUUGGAUAAGUCAGCUGUGAAAACCACGGGCUUAACUCGUGGCCUGCAGUUGAGACUGUCUGGCUUGAGUGUGGGAGAGGAGAGUGGAAUUCCUGGUGUAGCGGUGGAAUGCGCAGAUAUCAGGAGGAACACCGAUGGCGAAGGCAGGUCACUGGGCCGCAACUGACGCUGAGGAGCGAAAGCAUGGGGAGCGAACAGG
rnacentral:rRNA from 1 species